rnacentral:rRNA from 1 species
AGAGUUUGAUCCUGGCUCAGAGUCAACGUUGGCGGCGUGCGUAACACAUGCAAGUCGAACGAUCCUUGAGUGGCUUGCCAUUCAAGGAGAGUGGCGAACGGGUGAGUAACACGUGAGUAAUCUGCCCUCGAGUGGGGAACAACCUCGCGAAAGCGGGGCUAAUACCGCAUAAUAUUCUGGAGUAUAAACUUUCAGAAUCAAAGCCCUUAGGGGUGCUUGAGGAUGAGCUUGCGGCCUAUUAGCUAGUUGGUAGGGUAAUGGCCUACCAAGGUAACGAUGGGUAGCCGGCCUGAGAGGGUGUACGGCCACACUGGCACUGAGACACGGGCCAGACUCCUACGGGAGGCAGCAGUGGGGAAUCUUGCGCAAUGGGGGAAACCCUGACGCAGCAACGCCGCGUGAGUGAUGAAGGCCUUCGGGUCGUAAAGCUCUGUCAGGUGGGAAGAAAGAUCCUGAUGAUAAUACCAUCAGGAAGUGACGGUACCACCAGAGGAAGCGCCGGCUAACUCCGUGCCAGCAGCCGCGGUAAUACGGAGGGCGCAAGCGUUGUUCGGAAUUACUGGGCGUAAAGGGCGUGUAGGCGGUCAGAUAAGUCUGGUGUGAAAUCCCUUGGCUCAACCAAGGAAAGUCGCUGGAAACUGUCUGACUUGAGUACGAGAGAGGAGAGUGGAAUUCCCGGUGUAGAGGUGAANUUCGUAGAUAUCGGGAGGGACACCGGUGGCGAANGCGGCUCUCUGGCUCGAUACUGACGCUGAGACGCGAAAGCGUGGGGAGCAAACAGGAUUAGAGACCCUGGUAGUCCACGCCGUAAACGUUGGGCACUAGGUGUGGGGGGUAUCAACUCCCUCUGUGCCGAAGCUAACGCAUUAAGUGCCCCGCCUGGGAACUACGGCCGCAAGGCUAAAACUCAAAGGAAUUGACGGGGGCCCGCACAAGCGGUGGAGCAUGUGGUUUAAUUCGACGCAACGCGAAGAACCUUACCUGGGUUUGACAUCCCCUGACAGUCCUGGAAACAGGAUCUUCCCCUUCGGGGGACGGGGUGACAGGUGCUGCAUGGCUGUCGUCAGCUCGUGUCGUGAGAUGUUGGGUUAAGUCCCGCAACGAGCGCAACCCUCAUCCUUAGUUGCCAGCAUUGAGUUGGGCACUCCAAGGAAACUGCCGGUGUUAAGCCGGAGGAAGGUGGGGAUGACGUCAAGUCCUCAUGGCCUUUAUGCCCAGGGCUACACACGUGCUACAAUGGCCGGUACAAUGGGCAGCGACCUCGCGAGAGUGAGCAAAUCCCAAAAAGCCGGUCUCAGUUCGGAUUGGAGUCUGCAAUUCGACUCCAUGAAGGUGGAAUCGCUAGUAAUCGUGGAUCAGCACGCCACGGUGAAUACGUUCCCGGGCCUUGUACACACCGCCCGUCACACCAUGAGAGCUGACUGUACCAGAAGUCGUUGGGCUAACCCGUCAGGGAGGCAGGCGCCUAAGGUAUGGUUGGUGAUUGGGGUGAAGUCGUAACAAGGUA